AAUUGGGGUAAAUGUAGCUAUUUUUACUUUCUUCUUAAGCUCGGCUCUUACCAAACAUUCAAUUUUGGCUAGGCAAAAUGCUAACUCUAAAACAAUAUUUUAGAAACAGCCUGAGGAGUGUUAGCAUUUGUGCUCUCGUCCAGAAAACAGGUUUUCGUUUGAAAACCUGUCUGUAAAUUUGACUGUCUUUUACAGCUGUUCAGUCAUGCUGACUCAACCUCAAACUUUUUCUAAGAAGAUGGAAUGUUUGUAGAACAAACAAACAAACAACAACUACAAAGAAGCACACUUUAUUCGCCUUAAUAUUUAGGGAACUAUGUCUAAAUGAGGCAGAAGGUCAUGGCCUGAUAAAUAAGUUGCCGAGUUUAUGGUUGAAAAACAUAAAGGAAAUGUUGAGUCACAGCGACAUACGUGUCCUGGAGUUUCUUCGAAGUGACUCCUAGCUGUAGCGUUCUUACUUCCGGUCGAAAUGACAUCUCACAGGUUACUUCAGAAAUUCCUUGCAUAGUGGAAGUUUAGAAACUUAUUUUCAUGGGGCUAUGCUAACGUCGUCAUCGGAAAACAGGAAGUGACCUUGCUAAGGCUCACUUCUAUUUAUGUAGCUUUGUGAUAUUGGCGCCUACACCCAGGGCCUCAUGCAUGUCCGGGGCUCUGCUACACAGCUAGAGCCACACUUUUCCCUUUGACUCAGAAUUCAAGUUCAUGCGGAUCUUUCAGGGAAAAACCUUUGGCUUCAUGAAAUAGUCCCCGGUAGCCACGUGCUCUGGCAAGAUGGACAGCUGUGAAUUCCGCAUUUGUGACACCUGGCUCUGGGUGUCUCUCUACCAGAGGCGUGCAUGUAAGCCUUUCAGUUGCAAAAGUUCCCAGAAACAUCAAACUAGACUAAAAACAAAACCUUGUCUAUUUCAUCACGAGCCAGAAAUUAGGAAGGAGUCGGGCUGGGUGGCUUCUAAGGCACUCAAGGUGCAGAGGCAGGAGGGACUGUGAGUUUAAGGCCAGCCCAGUCUUCGAGAGUUCCAGGAUAGCCUGUGCUACUAGUGAGAUCUUAUC
rnacentral:lncRNA from 1 species